rnacentral:rRNA from 1 species
AACGAACGCUGGCGGCGUGCCUAACACAUGCAAGUCGAGCGCGAAAAGGGCAACCUGAGUAGAGCGGCGCACGGGUGCGUAACACGUGGGUAAUCUGCCUUAGAGUCGAGGAUAACCUUCCGAAAGGUUGGCUAAUACUCGGUAAGCUUACGGUGUCUUCGGACGCUGUGGGAAAAGUAGGCCUCUGGUUACAAGCUUACGCUCUGAGAUGAGCCCGCGGCCCAUCAGCUAGUUGGCGGUGUAACGGACCACCAAGGCAACGACGGGUAGCUGGUCUGAGAGGACGAUCAGCCACACUGGAACUGAGACACGGUCCAGACUCCUACGGGAGGCAGCAGGGGGGAAUUUUCCACAAUGGGCGAAAGCCUGAUGGAGCAACGCCGCGUGUGUGAUGAAGGUUUUCGGAUCGUAAAGCACUUUCGACUGGGACGAAAAACCUUUGGCUAACAUCCAGGGGCCUGACGGUACCAGGAGAAGAAGCACCGGCUAACUCUGUGCCAGCAGCCGCCGUAAUAC